UUGGUGGGGUAAAGGCCUACCAAGGCGACGAUUGGUAGCCGAACUGAGAGGUUGAUCGGCCACAUUGGGACUGAGACACGGCCCAGACUCUUACGGGAGGCAGCAGUGGGGAAUAUUGCGCAAUGGGGGGAACCCUGACGCAGCAACGCCGCGUGAAGGAAGAAGGUUUUCGGAUUGUAAACUUCUUUGAUGAGGGACGAAGAAAGUGACGGUACCUCAAAAACAAGCCACGGCUAACUACGUGCCAGCAGCCGCGGUAAUACGUAGGUGGCGAGCGUUGUCCGGAAUUACUGGGUGUAAAGGGCGUGUAGGCGGGGGAGCAAGUCAGAUGUGAAAUACCGAGGCUUAACUUCGGGGGUGCAUCUGAAACUGUUUUUCUUGAGUAUCGGAGAGGAAAGUGGAAUUCCUAGUGUAGCGGUGAAAUGCGUAGAUAUUAGGAGGAACACCAGUGGCGAAGGCGACUUUCUGGACGAUAACUGACGCUGAGGCGCGAAAGCGUGGGGAGCAAACAGGAUUAGAUACCCUGGUAGUCCACGCCGUAAACGAUGGAUACUAGGUGUAGGAGGUAUCGACCCCUUCUGU
rnacentral:rRNA from 1 species